GUGCAGCAGGCGCGAAACCUCCACAAUGUGGGAAAUCACGAUGGGGGAACUCCAAGUGCCUACGCUUUAAGUGUAGGCUGUUCCCGAGCCUAAAAAGCUCGAGAAGUAAGGGCCGGGUAAGACGGGUGCCAGCCGCCGCGGUAAUACCCGCGGCCCGAGUGGUGCUCAUUAUUAUUGAGUCUAAAGCGUCCGUAGCCGGCCGGGUAAAUCCCUGGGUAAAUCGGGCGGCCCAACCGUCCGAAUUCCAGGGACACUGCUCGGCUUGGGAUCGGGAGAGGGUGAUGGUACUCUUUGGGUAGGGGUAAAAUCCUGUAAUCCGAAGGGGACCACCAGUGGCGAAGGCGAUCACCUAGAACGAAUCCGACGGUGAGGGACGAAGCCCUAGGGCGCAAACGGGAUUAGAUACCCCCGUAGUCC
rnacentral:rRNA from 1 species